GGAAACCUACCCAGCAAUACUGAAGUUAACCCUAAGGAACAUGCAAAGGCUAUAACAACCAGAAGUGGAGUACAACUGCCGGAACCACAUGUAACAAGUUCGGGAGCCAACAAGGAAUCAAUGCCAACCUUGGAGGAAGAAAGUGUGGAGCAAACUGACAAUGCAACGGGAGAUGAGGUUAAGAGAAAUUCCAAGACAUCACAGG
rnacentral:lncRNA from 1 species